GGGUAUAUUCAAUCAUUCCCUCUGCAGUAUUUUGGAUUCAGCUUCUGAUACUUGAAAAGAUACAUAAAACUCAGCCUGCUUUGAAAGAAUUCCACAUGGGAUAGGCAUAAAGGUGAAGACCAGAUUCAUGUAUCUGUGUCAGUCAUGCCCAGAUAUUGUGCUUUCUUGGUUUUCCCAGCUUUGGAGUGCGUACAUGAAGCUGUAGAGAUUUUACUGGGGAGUCUGGUUGUUCCAAUGCUAUUUAGUUCUUUAACUGACUCCUGUCUUACCCUUUAGUUGCUUUCAUUAGUGACUGUAGAAGGUUAGGCAUUAAUAUCUGCUAGAUGUCUGGUUCCUAAAAUUUCUGUGCACAUGUCAUUAGAUGGCUUUCCACUGUAGCAUUUUGAUAAAUAUUGGAAGGAUAAAGGAUAGGCAGCAUGUUUUUCUAAAAUGUCUGAGCUAAACAAGAUUUUUUAAAACCAACAUUAGGUAUGUUUCUAUGGAGUCAACAUUUUUCAUGUGUACUUUUUAGAACGGCAUUAAAAAUCAUGGUUCUGUUUAAUGCUAAGGUUUUAUUACAUUUUGUGUGUAUUUUUCAAAAUUGUAAAUAUAUAGAAAACUUAAGGAAGGAUACCACAAUCUGAGAAUCUGCUUUUUUUGUUUGUUUGUUUAAAUUUUAGUGCUUUUGGUCUUAACCUUCAAAACUCUGACUUGGUACUCCUUUCAAGAAUCUGCUUUUUGCCAUAUUCUAAGCUGCUGCAACUGCAGUGAUAGUGGAUCAACUGAGUCUGGAGCCUCUAAUUGUAAUGAAUGAAACAUUUUCCAAGAGCAGCCUUGACCAUGAAAUUAAAUCUUCUCUUGGCACUCAAAUCCAUUGAAUGUAUUAAAGCCAAGGUAUUUUUGUACGUUUGUGAUGUGAAGGUUUCUAUGACGCUUAGUCUAAAUGGAACAAAAGGAACAGUAACAUCUAUCACUAUCCACGAAGAACUGGUUGGUUACCUGGUACGGCACUUGGAUGUUCACAAGUUGACGGGGCCGGAUGGGAUCCACCCAAAGGUACUGAGAUAACUGGCAGAGGAGCUGGCCAAGCCGCUUACCAUCAUUUAUUAACAGUCCUGGCUAUCGGGGGAGGUCCCAGUUGACUGGCGGCUAGCAAACAUGAUGCCCAUCUACAAGAAGGGCCGGAGGGCAGACCAAGGGAACUACAGGCCUGUCAGUUUGACCUCAGUACCAGGGAAGCUCAUGGAGCAGAUCCUCUUGAGAGUCGUCACGUGGCACUUGAAGGGCAAGCAGGCGAUCAGGCCCAGUCAGCAUGGGUUUAUGAAAGGCAGGUCCUGCUUGAUGAACCUGAUCUCCUUCUAUGACAAAGUGACGCACUGAGUGGACGAGGGAAAGGCUGUGAAUGUGGUCUACCUUGACUUCAGCAAGGCUUUUGACACCAUUUCCCACAGCAUUCUCCUCAAGAAACUGGCUGCUCGUGGCUUGGACUGGCGCACGCUUCGUUGGGUUAGAAACUGGCUGGAUAGCCGGGCCCAAAGAGUCGUGGUGAAUGGAGUCAAGUCCAGUUGGAGGCCAGUCACUAGUGGCGUCCCCCAGGGCUCGGUGCUGGGGCCGGUCCUCUUUAACAUCUUCAUCAAUGAUCUGGAUGACGGCACUGAGUGCACCCUCAGUAAGUUUGCAGAUGACACCAAGCUAGGUGCGUGUGUCAAUCUGCUCGAGGGUAGGAAGGCUCUGCAGGAGGAUCUGGAUAGGCUGCACUGAUGGGCUGAGGUCAACUGCAUUAAGUUUAACAAGGCCAAGUGCCAGGUCCUCCACCUGGGAUGCAAUAACCCUAAGCAGAGCUACAGACUGGGAGAUGCGUGGUUGGAGAGCUGCCAGGCAGAGAAGGCCUGGUGACAGGACGAGGGGGAAUGGGCUUAAGUUGCGCCAGGGGAGUUUUAGGUUGGAUGUUAGGAAGAAGUUCUUUACCAAAAGGGUUGUUAGACAUUGGAACAGGCUGCCCAGGGAGGUGGUGGAGUCACCAUCCCUGGAAGUCUUUAAAAGACAUUUAGAUGUAGAGCUUAGUGAUGUGGUUUAGUGGAGGACUUGUUAGUGUUAGGUCAGAGGUUGGACUUGAUGAUCUUGAGGUCUCUUCCAACCUAGAAAUUCUGUGAUUCUGUGAUCUGACCUGGGUAGCAGUCUCAAUUGACCAGAAAGUUCAAAUGUUGGACAUCUAGUAAUUUUGCUGAACUCCUAAUUCAAUUGAAUACUAAAUACCACAAUUUAUUUAAAGAAAUACAUAUAAGUAGCAUAAAAAAUAAUUAUAUUAAAGCAGAGAAAAUAUUUCCAGAUUUAAGUAGAUCAGUCCUUAAAAUCAGAAAAUCUGAACAAAACAAUAUUAGUAUUACGGUGAGAAAAAGUGUUUGUUUUAGAGAUGGGAGAACUACUUGAAAUUAAUUAGAGGGAAUUUUAUUUAUUUUACAUUGUCUUUUAGGGCUUGUCAUGAACUAAGACUUCAUUAAGCUCUCUUGUAUUCAGAAGUGGGCAAGUUUCCCAGGAUUUAGAGGUUUACUGUGAUUGUUUAGUGCAGGCUUAACUGAUGCUUUAUGAUGGGAUUAAUGAAAUUGAGGACAGCAUUAUGAAGAUAUUCCCCUGCCUAUCUUCAAAAGGCUGUAAGUAGCUUCAUUUAUGAAACUCUAGUUAGUAUUUGUACUGUAGAAAAUGAAUUUCUGUUAAGAAUUUCAUAGCUCUACAUUUUGUUGUAGCUACUGAAUCUCGGGGAGGAUCUACCUUACACAGAUGCAAAGUGAUCACCAUCCUGCCCUGUGACACAGAGUUACAGAUGCUGUAUGUUUCCUCUCUGACAUGUAUGUUUAUAGACUGCUGCUUGAAAAAGCAUAAUUAAAACUGAAGUCUUCAGUAAAAUGUUGCAACUCUGCCAACAAUGCAGCUAAACAAGCGGUGGUGUCUGUAUAGAAAAGCUUAAUGUUGCUUACCUGUGGGGUGUUGCACAGUCACAGAUGGCAUCAGGGCUUUGGCUGAGCACAGAAGGGGUCUGUGUUAGGAAACAGCCUUGCAGCUGGGCUGGGAGCAAUGGGCAGUGCUGCCAUGGUGGCUUUGGUUGCACUUACUUGCCACAGCUGUGCGUUGGCAGUGCCACUCUCCCUUCCAUCUGUAGCAAGAAAGCUUAGCAGUCACUGAUUAGAAGUUCUCAGCAAGCUUUUUUAAAAAAUGGAUAAAUAAAAGGGAGCCAUAGGUGUGCA
rnacentral:lncRNA from 1 species